GUAUAUAUAUAUAUAUAUAUAUAAUUUAGUUCUGAAUAACUUAAUAAUCAAUCUAUAGCAGGGCGCCUUCCUCUAAUUGCAAUAGAAGGAGCCCAACACACACACACACACAAGCACUUUCUACCCUUCGUAAGAGGUUCAGAAAUGGACAGAACCUUAGCCCUAAGUUGAUCUCCUUUGAAGAUGGUGCCCUUUAUAAACAGAAAAAAUAAACCUCAGACUACAUUUAACCAAUUAAAUAAAGAGUAUAUAUUGUGAAAAAAAAACAUAAUUAUGUACAUAUUCCCCUUUAGAAGAUCUUACACCAAAAAAAAAAUGAACAUGUGCACAUAUACUGAUUUAUGUGAUCAUACCCAUGAACCAUCCCCCUUUAUAAUGAAACUGCACAGAGAAACAACAAAAGGAAAAGGGUAAAAAAAAUGGCUGUUUAAGACAGCACAAGAAUAUACACAGCACAGUCUCACACACACACAUAUAUACUGUGUGUGUAUGUAUGUGUAUAUAUAUAUAUAUAUAUAUAUAUAAUAUACGUCAAACCAUACACCCCAUACACAUUCCCUUUUUGACCAAAUGAUCCCAAUGCCUGGGUAUUUCACAAGUCCAACAUACUGGUAAAAUGCAACAAUGAGGAUGCAUCCCCUCUGCGAUAUUAAGGAGCAUUCCUUGUGGUUUGAAGACAGUCCAUCUCCUUAUGUCAUACACCAGCUUAUUUAUGUGGGGACCCACAGUCGUGGUUUAGCCACAUUCCCCUUUUAAGUGAUAUCCUGAAAAUCCUACAUUCCUCAGACAUAUAUUUCAAAGGAACAAGGCGGCAGAAACAAAGUGAAUACAAUAUGUAGCACCUGUUACAACAGGUGUUAGUACGAAAGUGGUAAAGGUCUCCAAAAAAUAUAACUUGCUUAAUAUUGAAUAUAGUAGGGGCGGCAUGGUAGUGCAGUGAUUAGUGCUGCUGCUGCUGCAGAUCUCUGGCAGACUCUAAAUGAAUCCCAGGCCUGGUCACAGCCUUGAGGUUUGCAUGUUCUCCCUGCAUGUGGGGUUUUCUGCAAAACUUCGAUUUUCACCAUAAAUCCCAAAGAUGUGCAUGUUAAGUUAACUGUCAACUGCAAAUUCAAUGUGCUGCGAGCAUGGGUGUAUGCAUAUGAGUGCUUCCUGCCUUUUCUUUGUGCUUGAUGAUGCUGGAAAUAGCUUCUGACUUUCAUGACUCUGAAUUUGAUGAAUAAGUCGGGAAAAACAAUAAAUGUGUAAAAUGUAUUUAAAUAGUUAUAUGGUGUUAAUUGUGUAGAUGUUUUAGUUCUUACCUUCUGUUACAGUAUUUUCUUGCCUUUUUGUUCCCUGCUGGGUGCGCUGUAACACAUGGGCCAUAUCUCAUUUCUAUUACUAAAUGAAUAGUUGUCAUCUUUGUAGUCAUUAAUCAUUUUAUUGUUUAUAUUUUGAUUAAUUUAUUUUUACAGCUGUUUGGGACAUAGAAUUUAGAAUUUAUCAGUGAUAAUUUAUUUGGUUUCUUUAUGUUAGCAAUAGUUGUGUGCUCAAAUCCAAUAGUGACACCGUAUGACAAUGAAUAAAGUCACUUCACCUACCUGUGCUCCACUUGAAAAACCAAACGAAAUGUAAUCAACAUUUAUUCCAGAUAUUGAAAGUUGCUUUGGAUGAAGGUGAUUUGUAAAUGUAAUGUGAAUGGUGAAAAUAACUCGCAUCACCCUAUUAUAAUA